rnacentral:lncRNA from 1 species
GACCCUGUGAUCAGGGAGAACAAAAGUUUUCUCACCCGACAAUCUGAUGAAUAGGUACUCAGACUGAUCUUGGAACCACUCAUGAGCCAAAGAAGAAAUUAUUUUGUAAUUAAUUAUUAAUAUCUACUCUCUUAGUCCAUUUCUAUAAAACAAAACAAAACAAAUAAACAAACAAACAAACAAAAUUCCAAAACACCACAGACUGGUAGCUGAUAACAACAGAAAUUUAUUUUUCACGGUUUUGGAGACUAAAGUCCAAGAUUAGGGAACAAGCCUUCUGAGGAGGACCCUCUUCCUGGUUCAUAACCAGUGCCAUCUCCCUGUGUCCUCAUAUGGUAGAAGGGGCUAGGAAGCUCUGUGGGGUCCAUUUCAUAAGGCACUGGGGGGCUCCAUCUGCAUGACCUAAUUACCUCCAAAGAUCCCACCUUCUAAUACCAUUACAUUGGGCAUUAGCAUUUUAACAUAUAAAUUGGUAGGGACACACAUUUUCAGGCCCUAGCAUGUACUUUUAGUUGAUAUUUGCCAUAUUUUUUCAAAACUACCUAAUUCCCAAGAAAAAAAUUAGCUCCAAAUCCUGCUAAAAGAUGAAUUGGGGGAGGUAAUGGUUCCAUUAAACUUGGAUUCAAUACUGUAAAUAUAAAUUUAGCCUGCAUUUUACCUUCUGAGUAAAAAAAGGGUAUAUAUACUUGCAGUUUGAGUGUGUGUGUGUGUGUGUGUGUGUGUGUAAGGAAUGGAGUCAGGUAGGAUGUGAGGAGAAGAAUGAUUUCCCACUAAUAGGAAAUCAUUAAGUACCUUCUCAGCAGAGAAGAGAAUUUAUAUAAAAUUGACUUGGAGGACAGAGAUUUCUCUUAGCAUAACCUCUUUGUAUUUAGAAAGUGCUAUUGACUUAGGGCAAAUAUUGGAAAAUACUUGGAAAAAAUAUUGGAAAGUAUACCAACUUGAAACCAGAGCCUUGGUUUCUAAUUUCAGUUAUGUCAUUAGUUAGGUGUGUGAACUUGUGUAAAUUACUUUUGUUCUCUGGACCUCUGCUUCUUUACCUGUCAAGUGAGCAAUUAGGACAACCUGGUCUCUGCAUUUCCUUUCAGCUCUAAUAACCUAUACUUCUUUGAUAGAGGCCAUUUGAUUAAGUGAAAAAACCAUGAGCAUAUAGCAUCAGGCCUUUGUGAUACAAACUUUCCCAAAAUGCUAAAUUGUAAUGAGGGCUGAAACUGUAUGUAUGAAACUCUCUCACUUACUUCAGGCUCCAGGAAUUCCCUUUUCUUCUGAUCUCAGAACAAUUAGCGUCUGGGUCAACCAUUUGGUAACCCAUCCAUCAUGUGGUAUCUCUUCCAUUUUGGUCUUUAGUAUUACCUAAAUAUUUUAUUAUUACUAGUAAUGAUAACAGUGGUGAUUAACCUAUCGCUGACUAUGUGCCAGGCACUGUGCUAGGUAAUUGUGUAUAAUCCUUCCAGCAGCAAAUGGAAGUAGGUAUUUCCUUGCUUGAAGGUUAGGGCCAUGCCAUAUUUUAUUAAAUACCCCCAUAGCACCAAGCACAGCACCUUGAACAUGGUAGAUGUUCAUUACCUACAUGUUUGAUUGACUGAAAUGUGGCAGUAGGUCCCUGCAUCUCCCUAUAAUGUAUGUAGUUAUUUGAUUUAUAAGAAAUUUCUGUCCCUGACUGUGGUCAGCUAUUGAAUUUAUGUUUGACAAGAAAACCAUAGAGUUUGGCAACUCUGCAGUGAUAGGUGAUGUGUGAUUCAUCUGGGGAAGAACAGACAUUUUCUAUUCAGACUUUGAAUUCCUGGGUCUUAUGGUUAGUUAAUCAUGUCUAUAGGAAUGCAUGACUGAGCAGACAGAUUCAAAGGUAGGAGUCUUUAAUCUCAAUUACCCUAUUGUGUGUUUCCAGAUAUCAUCUUGUCGCCCUGUGGUAAUAUUUUCUAUACCUACUGCUCAGAUAUAUGAGGUGAAUAGAGUCUGCUCUUUGUUCAUUUUAAGAGAAAUUCUAUAAUACAGGAAACAUAGUCCAAGCUGGACGUGGUAGGUAUCUAAGAUCCAGAACAUCAUGACCCUUCAAAGCAGCCAGGAAAUUCCCCCAAUAGUCACAUUUGCCAUGUCCCAAGGAGGCUGCCUGGGUUGGCACACAAUGGGAGACUCACGGGGACACACCCUUCUCAAAAGAGGCUCCAAGGAAGAAAUUAAAAAUGGUUCUGGAAGCUACUCAAUGACAGAGGUAGCAGAGUGAGAGCUGGUAGAAGUCACAGAGAGCCACCAUUUCAGCUGCUUCUCACUGGUCUUGCCCCCAGGAGGCUGGCACAGCAGUUCCUCCUUGAGGAACUACUCUUGGCCUCCUUAAAAUCCCCCAGGUUCCCAGUGGAUGUUCUUCUUCAUUCUCCCUCUGAAAUCACUGGAGUCUGGGCUGCGGUGGGGGCAGGGGAGUAAUAUGGUAGGUGUUGAACAUUCCCAGUUUCACCAGCAGGAGAAAUGCCCCCGUAAAUCCAUCAAAGAAGGCCCACCAAGUCCUUCAGAAAGAAGAGGCAGCCAGUGACAUGAAUACGAUUAUUGUAAUGGAGCAAAAUGUGUGACUCUCGGGGAUUCUGUUAAAUCCAGCCAAAGUGAAUGCUACAGUUAACCCAUUUCCCUGGGGAGCACUAACCCUGAAGCAGACUUAUUAAUUAGGGCUUCUGAGGGGUAUGGCAGAGGUGGGGAUGGGUGAGCUUUUUUAGUUACAGAGACAGAGCUCCAUUCUAAUCUGCUCCUGUCCAUGGGGGCAACUCCUGUAUCUUUUUUUUUUUUUUUUUUUUAAACCAAACAGUUUGAACAUAGUGCUCACCAGAUCCCUGUGGUGCUAAAGAGCAUUUUCCAUUCAAAGAGAGCGGGAAAAAAAGUUUUUAAAAUGAAUCAGUAGGUGGAGCUCUUUCUUUCUUUCUUUCUUUUUCAAUCCCAGGUCCAAUUUUUAGUGAGGGACACAGAACUUUUGAAUAUAAAAAAAAAAAAA